CCCUUAGACGUUCUGGGCCGCACGCGCGCUACACUGACCAGUGCAACAAGCAUCCGUCCUUGGCCGACAGGCUCGGGCAAUCUUUGAACGCUGGUCGUGAUGGGGAUAGACUUUUGCAAUUUUUGGUCUUCAACGAGGAAUUCCUAGUAAACGCAAGUCAUCAACUUGCAUUGAUUACGUCCCUGCCCUUUGUACACACCGCCCGUCGCACCUACCGAUUGAAUGGUCCGGUGAAAUCUCGGGACGGCGGCUUGGUCGCUUGCGUCCGACUGCUGAAACUUGAUUAAACCAUAUCAUUUAGAGGAAGGUGAANUCGUANCA
rnacentral:rRNA from 1 species